CCCUAAACGGCCGCGGCACUAAAACCGUGCAAAGGUAGCACAAUCACUUGUCCAUUAAAUGAGGACCCGUAUGAAAGGCAACAUGAGAGAAAACCUGUCUCUUAAGGCUAGCCAAUGAAAUUGUACUACCAGUACAAAAACUGGUAUAUCAAAGCAAGACAAAAAGACCCUGUGGAACUUUUAACAAAUUGUUUAAACAUGUAAACAACAGUUUCAGUUGGGACAACUUUAGAAAAAAUAAACUUCUUAAUUUACCAAGACAAACAAGUCUAAGACAACACAGAUCCAGUAACACUGAUUAACGAAACAAGCUACCCCAGGGAUAACAGCGCCACCUUCUCAAAGAGUCCAUAUCAACAAGAAGAUCUACGACCUCGAUGUUGGAUCAGGGUACCCAGACGGUGCAACAGCUGUCAAUGGUUCGUUUGUUCAACGAUUAAUACCCUACGUGAUCUGAGUUCAGA
rnacentral:rRNA from 1 species